UACAGAGACUGCAAGCGUUAUUCGGAUUCACUGGGCGUAAAGGGUGCGCAGGCGGCCAAGUGUGUCAGGUGUGAAAUCCCGAGGCUUAACCUCGGAACUGCGCCUGAAACUACUUGGCUAGAGUACUGGAGAGGGUAACGGAAUUCACGGUGUAGCAGUGAAAUGCGUAGAUAUUGGGAAGAACACCGGUGGCGAAGGCGGCGAGCUGGUCCAUUACUGACGCUGAGGCGCGACAGCGUGGGGAGCAAACAGG
rnacentral:rRNA from 1 species